rnacentral:lncRNA from 1 species
GAAAAGCUUGGCCUUCAAUGAUAGAGAGCUAGAAAGAGAAAAGAAGACAUUCAUGGAAAGAGAAAUUCUAAGAAAGGCAGAGUUACAAGAAAGUCUUAUUUUUCUUAUCUUUUUCCCUUUAUCCCUCUCCUCUUCUCUUCAAAGUGCAGUGUCUGAGUUAUGAGCAGGCUGGGGAGGUGUUAUCUCUCACUGGAGGAGGCUAUUCCACUUCCUUUUUCCCAUUCCUCAAGCCUUAGCCAGACCUGCAAUGCUUGUCCAACAUGUUGAGUUACUACACAUCUUCAAGCCUGGCCUAAGUUCAUGUUAAUGAUCCACUUAAAUUUCAAACGAGAACUAAAAUCAAAGGUAUUUUAUAUUUUAAUUCUAAAAUUCAUAAGGAUGCUGAUUCUUCCAGGAAUGUUGUGUAAAUGGAAGAUAUCUCUAUAUUCUUUAAAUUAUUCUAAAAGUCAUGAGUCAUGACUCUUGUAUUGUGUUGGGUUCACCUCCUCAAUUUCUUCUCUUCUCACAUCACACAAGUUUGAAGCUCUCUGUCCUGACUUCCAAAGGAAUUCAUUCUCCCUUCAUAGAAAUUCUGACAUUAAUUGUUUUGGGUUUUUGAAUGACAUAAAGAGGAUCAGAUUCCAGGUCCUGAGCAACUCCUUACUCAGAUUUCCAAUCUUCCUGACUUUUCCAUGUGAUAGAGGACCUAUUUUCAGGAUUCAAUUAGAAAAUUGCCCUGUAUCAAGGCAAACCUUAACAUAUUAGUAACUUAAGUGGCUCCAGUUUUUUCACUGAUAUUAAAUGGGUAAUCUAGGUUGGGUGAAUAUACCUACUUUCACAAAAGACCAAAUGAAGCUAUUCUUAUAUUGAAUUUCUUUCAAAAAUGGCCUAUAAAUAACUUUAUUUUUUGUGAAUUAGUCUAAAUAAAAAAGAAAAUUGCUCUCCCGUGCAGUAGCUCAUGACUUAUGCAUCGCCCUCUUUGUAGGACACAUGCGUAUCCCACAUUUUUCCAGCUGCUUCAGUAUCUAAGGGACAAGGGGUACCAUUACUUGGUGAUAAGAAAGGUGAGGUCUGGUUUAGAAGCAGAAUAAAACCCUGCUUGUUCACCAGGAGCUCCAUAUCUCAGUUUUGACUAGAAGAAUUUCAAACCAGUUCUAAGCUCCAUUGUUAAUCUUUACCUCUUGGAAAUAGAUGUGUGGCAGCUGCCAUUGGGACAGCCUCUUGCACGGGUUCCAGUGAAGAAGAGAGCUUGGGGAUGAGAGCCGAGGUCAUCCACCACUACCACUUCCUCCAACUUAAUGAAGGAAGUUUACUUUCAGAGUCUCUCUCUUAAAUAAAUGAAGUAGGCUUUAUUGAAAAGAACAGCAAGGUGAUAGCGUUGUGGUCUGAAUACACUUCCACGUUCCUCUCCUUGGGCAUUUUCUACAGAAAAAUAUGAAUAAUUCUAUAGGCCAAAUUUACCCAUAUAGUAGGAAUGUUGUCAAAAUAAACCAAGAUAAUAGAUUUGAAAGUACACUGAAUGAAAAC